ACUCGAGUGGCGAACGGGUGAGUAACACGUGGGUGAUCUGCCCUGCACUUCGGGAUAAGCUUGGGAAGCUGGGUCUAAUACCGGAUAGGAGCCAUCUUUAGUGUGGUGGUUGGAAAGUUUUUCGGUGUAGGAUGAGCUCGCGGCCUAUCAGCUUGUUGGUGGGGUAAUGGCCUACCAAGGCGGCGACGGGUAGCCGGCCUGAGAGGGUGUACGGCCACAUUGGGACUGAGAUACGGCCCAG
rnacentral:rRNA from 1 species